CCUACGGGCGGCAGCAGUGGGGAAUAUUGGACAAUGGGCGAAAGCCUGAUCCAGUCAUGCCGCGUGUGUGAAGAAGGCCUUCGGGUUGUAAAGCACUUUCAGUGGGGAAGAAAGCCUUGGGGCUAAUACCCUCGAGGAAGGACAUCACCCACAGAAGAAGCACCGGCUAACUCCGUGCCAGCAGCCGCGGUAAUACGGAGGGUGCGAGCGUUAAUCGGAAUUACUGGGCGUAAAGCGCGCGUAGGCGGUCUGAUAAGCCGGUUGUGAAAGCCCCGGGCUCAACCUGGGAACGGCAUCCGGAACUGGCAGGCUAGAGUGCAGGAGAGGAAGGUAGAAUUCCCGGUGUAGCGGUGAAAUGCGUAGAGAUCGGGAGGAAUACCAGUGGCGAAGGCGGCCUUCUGGACUGACACUGACGCUGAGGUGCGAAAGCGUGGGUAGCAAACAGGAUUAGAUACCCUUGUAGUC
rnacentral:rRNA from 1 species